UUGCUAGGGUACUCGGGGUGGUUGCUAGGGCGGUUGCUAGGGUCCCCAUGAUGGUUGCUAGGGCCGUUGCUAGGGUACCCAGGGUGGUUGCUAGGGUAAUCGGGGCGGUUGCUAGGGUGUUGCUAUGUGGUUGCUAGGGUACCCGGGGUGGUUGCUAGGGCGGUUGCUAGGGUCCCCAUGAUGGUUGCUAGGGCCGUUGCUAGGGUACCCUGGGUGGUUGCUAUGGUAAUCGGGGUGGUUGCUAGGGUGUUGCUAUGUGGUUGCUAGGGUACCCGGGGUGGUUGCUAGGGCGGUUGCUAGGGUCCCCAUGAUGGUUGCUAGGGCCGUUGCUAAGGUACCCAGGGUGGUUGCUAGGGUAAUCGGGGUGGUUGCUAGGGUACCCCGGGUGGUUGCUAGGGCAGUUGCUAGGGUCCCCAUGAUGGUUGCUAGGGCCGUUGCUAAGGUACCCAGGGUGGUUGCUAGGGUAAUCGGGGUGGUUGCUAGGGUGUUGCUAUGUGUUGCUAGGGUCCCCAUGAUGGUUGCUAGGGCCGUUGCUAAGGUACCCAUGGUGGUUGCUAGGGUAAUCGGGGUGGUUGCUAGGGUGUUGCUAUGUGGUUGCUAGGGUACCCGGGGUGGUUGCUAGGGCGGUUGCUAGGGUCCCCAUGAUGGUUGCUAGGGCCGUUGCUAAGGUA